AUUUGUACCAAACAGGUCAAGCUCCUUUCUCUCCCUCUUCCUGUUUAACUGGUGAGACUGAGACCAACAACAGAGGAUCUCACUUGUUGAAGACCACAGGACUGAAAAUGGAUGAAUGCAACAACCAUGUCUCUGUCCCUAACAAAUACAGUCAUGGGUGGUAACUACAAUUCACUCGAAAGAUAAAAGGAGAACUGAGAGUCCCGCCCAAGAACAGGAAACUAUAAAGAUAUAUGCUUAUCACCCAAUGCUUCGGAAUUCAGACUGUGAACAGUCAAGGGCUGAUGUGGAUGUGGUGUUGGAGUCAGGCGCAGGACACAGAAGCUUAGUCGAUCCGACUUUUAAUAGUCACAGGAGCAAAGAACAAUCCAAACAGGCCUCAAAAACAGGAGGCGAGCGAAUACGCAAAACAGUGCGUAAAGUGCGAACAGCACUAACAAUAAGCAAACAAACAACCUACACCAAACGACAGGCGUACAACGACACACAACUACAAACAAAACCAAAGGACACUUAUAGGUGACAUAAUCAAGACGUGAUAAGGAACAGG